UACGUAGGGGGCGAGCGUUGUCCGGAAUUAUUGGGCGUAAAGAGCGUGUAGGCGGUUCGGUAAGUCUGCCGUGAAAACCCAGGGCUCAACCCUGGGCGUGCGGUGGAUACUGCCGGGCUAGAGGGUGGUAGAGGCGAGUGGAAUUCCCGGUGUAGCGGUGAAAUGCGCAGAUAUCGGGAGGAACACCAGUAGCGAAGGCGGCUCGCUGGGCCACACCUGACGCUGAGACGCGAAAGCGUGGGGAGCAAACAGGAUUAGAUACCCCGGUAGU
rnacentral:rRNA from 1 species